CUACGGGUGGCUGCAGUGAGGAAUAUUGGUCAAUGGGCGAAAGCCUGAACCAGCCAUGCCGCGUGAAGGAUGACGGCCCUAUGGGUUGUAAACUUCUUUUAUACGGGAAGAAACACCUCUACGUGUAGAGGUUUGACGGUACCGUACGAAUAAGCAUCGGCUAACUCCGUGCCAGCAGCCGCGGUAAUACGGAGGAUGCAAGCGUUAUCCGGAUUUAUUGGGUUUAAAGGGUACGUAGGCGGAAACUUAAGUCAGUAGUGAAAUCCCGCAGCUUAACUGUGGAACUGUUAUUGAUACUGGGUUUCUUGAAUAUUGUUGAGGUAGGCGGAAUAAGUAAUGUAGCGGUGAAAUGCUUAGAUAUUACUUAGAACACCGAUUGCGAAGGCAGCUUACUAAGCAAUUAUUGACGCUGAGGUACGAAAGCGUGGGGAGCGAACAGGAUUAGAUACCCCGGUAGUC
rnacentral:rRNA from 1 species